CGUGCGGUUCCUUCCCAGUUCCCACUUCUCUCACCCAACUGUUCCAGCCGCCUCCCAUCCCCACCUUCGGCCUUCCUGUCCUGUUUCCACCCGCAGCCCGCCUCCUCCACGGUUCCCUCCGGCCUCCCAUCCCCGCCUCCCACCGGCACCGGCGCCUUCUCCGCCUGGACCCCUGGUUCCUCCCUCCGGCAGCAGCAGGCAGCAGCAGCACCGGCGCCUUCUCCGCCUGGUUCCUCCCUCCGGCAGCAGCAGGAAGCAGCAGCACUUUGCCGGCGUCGCUCAGUUCGCCAGGCUCGCCUCUUCCCUCGUUUUUCCCUCCGUCAGCAGCAGCUCCUCCAUUGUUACA
rnacentral:lncRNA from 1 species